UACGUAGGGCGCAAGCGUUGUCCGGAAUUAUUGGGCGUAAAGAGCUCGUAGGCGGUUUGUCGCGUCUGCUGUGAAAACUGGAGGCUCAACCUCCAGCCUGCAGUGGGUACGGGCAGACUAGAGGUAGGUAGGGGAGAAUGGAAUUCCCGGUGUAGCGGUGAAAUGCGCAGAUAUCGGGAGGAACACCGGUGGCGAAGGCGGUUCUCUGGGCCUUACCUGACGCUGAGGAGCGAAAGCGUGGGGAGCGAACA
rnacentral:rRNA from 1 species